rnacentral:rRNA from 1 species
UACGAAGGGAGCUAGCGUUGCUCGGAAUUACUGGGCGUAAAGGGCGCGUAGGCGGCCUUCUAAGUCAGACGUGAAAUCCCCCGGCUUAACCUGGGAACUGCGUCUGAUACUGGAGGGCUUGAGUAUGGGAGAGGGAUGUAGAAUUCCAGGUGUAGCGGUGAAAUGCGUAGAUAUCUGGAGGAAUACCGGUGGCGAAGGCGGCAUCCUGGACCAUUACUGACGCUGAGGCGCGAAAGCUAGGGGAGCAAACGGG